GACGAACGCUGGCGGCGUGCUUAACACAUGCAAGUCGAACGAUGAAACCGGAGCUUGCUCCGGUGGAUUAGUGGCGAACGGGUGAGUAACACGUGAGUAACCUGCCCUUGACUCUGGGAUAACUGCGGGAAACUGUAGCUAAUACCGGAUACGACCCUCGGAGGCAUCUCCUGGGGGUGGAAAGAAUUUCGGUCAAGGAUGGACUCGCGGCCUAUCAGCUAGUUGGUUAGGUAACGGCUCACCAAGGCGACGACGGGUAGCCGGCCUGAGAGGGUGACCGGCCACACUGGGACUGAGACACGGCCAAGAGUCCUACGGGAGGCAGCAGUGGGGAAUAUUGCACAAUGGGCGCAAGCCUGAUGCAGCAACGCCGCGUGAGGGAUGACGGCCUUCGGGUUGUAAACCUCUUUUAGCAGGGAAGAAGCGAAAGUGACGGUACCUGCAGAAAAAGCACCGGCUAACUACGUGCCAGCCGCCGCCGUAA
rnacentral:rRNA from 1 species